GACGUAGGUGGCGAACGUUAUCCGGAAUUAUUGGGCGUAAAGGGUGCGUAGGUGGCCUGACAAGUUAUCAGUGGCAAAUCGAGGCUCAACCUCGUGGAAACUGGUAAUACUGUUCGGCUUGAGUACAGGAGAGGUUAACGGAACUCUAUGUGGAGCGGUAAAAUGCACAGAUAUAUAGAAGAACAUCAAUAAAGGCGAAGGCAGUUAACUAUUCUGUACUGACGCUGAGGCACGAAAGCGUGGGGAGCAAAACGG
rnacentral:rRNA from 1 species